rnacentral:tRNA from 2 species
CGCGGGAUGGAGCAGUGGCCAGCUCGUCGGGCUCAUAACCCGAAGGUCGGGGGUUCGAAUCCCUCUCCCGCUACCA